rnacentral:rRNA from 1 species
AUGAACGCUGGCGGCGUGCCUAACACAUGCAAGUCGAACGAAGCAAUUAAGAUGAAGUUUUCGGAUGGAAUCUUGAUUGACUGAGUGGCGGACGGGUGAGUAACGCGUGGAUAACCUGCCUCACACUGGGGGAUAACAGUUAGAAAUGACUGCUAAUACCGCAUAAGCGCACAGUGCCGCAUGGCAGUGUGUGAAAAACUCCGGUGGUGUGAGAUGGAUCCGCGUCUGAUUAGCCAGUUGGCGGGGUAACGGCCCACCAAAGCGACGAUCAGUAGCCGACCUGAGAGGGUGACCGGCCACAUUGGGACUGAGACACGGCCCAAACUCCUACGGGAGGCAGCAGUGGGGAAUAUUGCACAAUGGGCGAAAGCCUGAUGCAGCGACGCCGCGUGAGUGAAGAAGUAUUUCGGUAUGUAAAGCUCUAUCAGCAGGGAAGAAAAUGACGGUACCUGACUAAGAAGCCCCGGCUAACUACGUGCCAGCAGCCGCGGUAAUACGUAGGGGGCAAGCGUUAUCCGGAUUUACUGGGUGUAAAGGGAGCGUAGACGGCGAAGCAAGUCUGAAGUGAAAACCCAGGGCUCAACCCUGGGACUGCUUUGGAAACUGUUUUGCUAGAGUGUCGGAGAGGUAAGUGGAAUUCCUAGUGUAGCGGUGAAAUGCGUAGAUAUUAGGAGGAACACCAGUGGCGAAGGCGGCUUACUGGACGAUAACUGACGUUGAGGCUCGAAAGCGUGGGGGAGCAAACAGGAUUAGAUACCCUGGUAGUCCACGCUGUAAACGAUGAAUGCUAGGUGUUGGGGGGCAAAGCCCUUCGGUGCCGCCGCAAACGCAGUAAGCAUUCCACCUGGGGAGUACGUUCGCAAGAAUGAAACUCAAAGGAAUUGACGGGGACCCGCACAAGCGGUGGAGCAUGUGGUUUAAUUCGAAGCAACGCGAAGAACCUUACCAAGUCUUGACAUCCCCCUGACGGGCCGGUAACGCGGCCCUUCCUUCGGGACAGGGGAGACAGGUGGUGCAUGGUUGUCGUCAGCUCGUGUCGUGAGAUGUUGGGUUAAGUCCCGCAACGAGCGCAACCCUUAUCCUUAGUAGCCAGCACGUGAAGGUGGGCACUCUAGGGAGACUGCCGGGGAUAACCUGGAGGAAGGUGGGGAUGACGUCAAAUCAUCAUGCCCCUUAUGAUUUGGGCUACACACGUGCUACAAUGGCGUAAACAAAGGGAAGCGAGACAGUGAUGUGGAGCAAAUCCCAAAAAUAACGUCCCAGUUCGGACUGUAGUCUGCAACCCGACUACACGAAGCUGGAAUCGCUAGUAAUCGCGAAUCAGAAUGUCGCGGUGAAUACGUUCCCGGGUCUUGUACACACCGCCCGUCACACCAUGGGAGUCAGCAACGCCCGAAGUCAGUGACCCAACCGAAAGGAGGGAGCUGCCGAAGGCGGGGCAGGUAAC